CGGAGGAAAAGAAACCAACAGGGAUUGCCCUAGUAACGGCGAGUGAAGCGGCAACAGCUCAAAUUUGAAAUCUGGCGCAAGCCCGAGUUGUAAUUUGUAGAGGAUGCUUCUAGGUAGCGACCGGUCUAAGUUCCUUGGAACAGGACGUCAUAGAGGGUGAGAAUCCCGUAUGUGACCGGCCCGCACCUUCUACGUAGCUCCUUCGACGAGUCGAGUUGUUUGGGAAUGCAGCUCUAAAUGGGAGGUAAAUUUCUUCUAAAGCUAAAUACCGGCCAGAGACCGAUAGCGCACAAGUAGAGUGAUCGAAAGAUGAAAAGCACUUUGGAAAGAGAGUUAAAAAGCACGUGAAAUUGUUGAAAGGGAAGCGCUCACAACCAGACUUCUGGGCGGUGUUCCGCCGGUCUUCUGACCGGUCUACUCACCGUCCCGAGGCCAACAUCAUCUGGGACCGCUGGAUAAGACCUUAGGAAUGUAGCUCCCCCUCGGGGGAGUGUUAUAGCCUGUGGUGAUGCAGCGCGUCUCGGGUGAGGUCCGCGCUUCGGCAAGGAUGUUGGCGUAAUGGUUGUCAGCGGCCCGUCUUGAAACACGGACCAAGGAGUCUAACAUCUAUGCGAGUGUUCGGGUGUCAAACCCCUACGCGUAAUGAAAGUGAACGGAGGUGGGAAGCGUAAGCUGCACCAUCGACCGAUCCUGAUGUCCUCGGAUGGAUUUGAGUAAGAGCAUAGCUGUUGGGACCCGAAAGAUGGUGAACUAUGCCUGAAUAGGGUGAAGCCAGAGGAAACUCUGGUGGAGGCUCGCAGCGGUUCUGACGUGCAAAUCGAUCGUCAAAUUUGGGUAUAGGGGCGAAAGACUAAUCGAACCAU
rnacentral:rRNA from 1 species